UACGUAGGCAGCAAGCGUUUGUUCGGAGUUACUGGGCGUAAAGGGUGUGUAGGCGGUUAUUUAAGUUUGGUGUGAAAUCUCCCGGCUCAACCGGGAGGGUGCGCCGAAUACUGAAUGACUUGGAGUGCGGGAGAGGAAAGUGGAAUUCCUGGUGUAGCGGUGAAAUGCGUAGAUAUCAGGAGGAACACCGGUGGUGUAGACGGCUUCUGGACCGUAACUGACGCUGAGACACGAAAGCGUGGGUAGCAAACAGG
rnacentral:rRNA from 1 species